AUUUCAUGCCCGUAUUCAACAAGCUUGGUGAGCUUCAAAUUUAUCUCGUCCAUAUACUCUGUGAUAUCAGUGAGAAAACAUCAAUCACACUGCCAUGUUUCAUCUUUGAUUAUUAAAUAUUUGGUAGGAAUUCCUUUCGUUUCAAGAAAAUCUUUGAAUUGGAAUUGACAGUACAGUAAAUCUUUGUUAAACUCGUCUAUGACUCAACCAGUGAAGAUGGAUAAAGACACAAGAUCAUCACACUCACUGCUUCCUACUCCUUUCCAUAAACUGGUGAUUCACGGCAUUUGAACGUACAUGCUGAACAACUGUAACAAAUAUA
rnacentral:lncRNA from 1 species